GGGGCGGUAGCUCAGUGGUAGAGCGUAGGACUGCAAUUGCAACAGCAACAGGGUAUCCCGAGGUCGCGUGUUCGACCCACGCCCGUCCCU